rnacentral:rRNA from 1 species
AUUGAACGCUGGCGGCAUGCUUUACACAUGCAAGUCGAACGGUAACAGGGAGCUUGCUCCGCUGACGAGUGGCGAACGGGCGAGUAAUGCAUCGGAACAUGCCCAGUCAUGGGGGAUAACUACGCGAAAGCGUAGCUAAUACCGCAUACGCCCUGAGGGGGAAAGUGGGGGAUCUUAGGACCUCACGUGAUUGGAGUGGCCGAUGUCAGAUUAGCUAGUUGGUGAGGUAAAGGCUCACCAAGGCGACGAUCUGUAGCGGGUCUGAGAGGAUGAUCCGCCACACUGGGACUGAGACACGGCCCAGACUCCUACGGGAGGCAGCAGUGGGGAAUUUUGGACAAUGGGCGCAAGCCUGAUCUAGCCAUGCCGCGUGAGUGAAGGAGGCC